rnacentral:rRNA from 1 species
UACGUAGGGCGCAAGCGUUGUCCGGAAUUAUUGGGCGUAAAGCGCUCGUAGGCGGCUUGUCACGUCGGAUGUGAAAGCCCGGGGCUUAACUCCGGGUCUGCAUUCGAGACGGGCUGGCUAGAGUGCGGUAGGGGAGAUCGGAAUUCCUGGUGUAGCGGUGAAAUGCGCAGAUAUCAGGAGGAACACCGGUGGCGAAGGCGGAUCUCUGGGCCAUUACUGACGCUGAGGAGCGAAAGCGUGGGGAGCGAACAGG